GGCACAAACAGGAAGGCCACUCGAUGGAUGCCUAGGCGAUCUGUGCCGAGGAAGGACGGGGACUACCACCGAUAUGGGCAGGCGAGCUGGAGUCAAGCGUCGACCCUGCCAUCUCCGAAUGGGGCAACCCAAUAGCCGUGAUGGGCUAUUACCCACCGUUGAACACAUAGACGGUGAGGAGGGCACCAGGGGAACUGAAACAUCUCACGUACCCUGAGGAACAGAAAAUAUUCCCGUAGUAGCGGCGAGCGAACUGGGAACAGCCGAAACUCACAGCGUGCCAAGGGUUACGCCGUUGCGUUGUGAGGGUUGUGAGACCAUAAGCACUAGCGUAAUGAGGUGCACUCAGUUACCAAGUCUACGAUUAGCCGAAUCUGUUUGGAAGACGGAGCAAUACAGGGUGACAGCCCCGUAGGCGACAAUAGUAGACCUGAGUAUGGGAUCUCGAGUACGGCGGGACACGCGACAUCCCGUCGGAAGCUGGGCCGACCACGGUCCAAGGCUAAAUACACAGAUCGACCGAUAGCGCAUAGUACCGUGAGGGAACGGUGAAAAGCACCCCGGCGAGGGGAGUGAAA
rnacentral:rRNA from 1 species